rnacentral:tRNA from 1 species
GCCCGCUUAGCUCAAUGGACAGAGCGCAUGGCUUCGGACCAUGAGGUUAGGGGUUCGAGUCCUCUAGCGGGCACCA